rnacentral:rRNA from 1 species
AUUUGUCCCCUAAAUAGGGACUUGUAUGAACGGCCAACUGAGGUUCUAACUGUCUCAUUAGACUAAUCAAUGAAACUGAUCUUUCAGUACAAAAGCUGAAAUAAAAACAUAAGACGAGAAGACCCUGCGGAGCUUAAAACCAAUACUAUUAACCACAUUUUCCACCUUUUCAGUUGGGGCGACUUUGGAACCAAAAAAAACUUCCAUGCUAGGCCCCUAUUAAGGCGAACACGCCAAAAUAAACCCUUAUUGACCCAGCCUGCCUGAGCAACGAACCAAGUUACCCCAGGGAUAACAGCGCCAUCCCCUUCAAGAGUCCCUAUCGACAAGGGGGUUUACGACCUCGAUGUUGGAUCAGGACACCCCGGUGGUGCAACCGCUA